ACACCAGCAGAGCGAGUAGAGAUGGCUCCUUUGAAUGGGGAGAAUGAGGAAGAAGAGGACUCCACCCUCUUUGAUGUCAAGUACAGGUGAAUACCAGUCAUUAAACAGAGGAUGUUGGAUUUUAAAUCAUAAACCCAUCAUUUUCUCCAGUGGGAACACAACCCAAGGAUAUGUGGCCUAACGCUGUCUCCUGAUGUCUUCAGUGUUUUGUAACUUCUGUCAAGUCCAGUCAAGUUUCCAAUCUCACCGAUAUUUUCAGAAAAGGUUACCUCUGUGGUCUGGUUUUCUAGAAUGUAUUCUGAUUGUAAACAUGAUGUAUUUACAAUCCUUUUGUAUACAUCAGUCACUUCCAACGCAGAAGGUUCCUCUUCAGAGGGAUGUUGCCAAUAGAUUGUGAAUUGGGGCUAGCUCAGUAAAUGUUAAUCUUCUUUAAGCUAAAACAAAAUACAUAGAGAACAUUUGAUGGCUUUUGCUUAAAGGCAAUCCUCUUGCCGUCCUGUAAUGCUUAUAGUAUGUUAUUCACUGUAAUAAUAUAAUAUUUUAUAUUAUGAUUUGCAUACUAUGAAAAAUACUUAUUUACUCGUUUGGUGCAAAGAUUAUUUUAAUUGUCAACUAUUCUGCUAUUCCAAAUAGUACACUAACCACUAAAAUGUGCAUACACUGUAUACUGUAUGAGGCUUUCUGUCCUCUGUCUCAUGGUUGGUUUGGGUGCAUAUUUUUUACUGUAUGUGUUUGAGAGUCUCCCGUUUUGCUGCUAUCUCUAACCUGGGGUUGGAUAAGGUUGCAAGUGCAUAUGUUUGGUCACAAUGACAAACAAUUGUAUUAAAGAACAGGUCAUAUAAUAUACUUUGUAGGAUUUUGGAAAUAAAUGUAUGUUUCUCAAAGUUGGAUUGUAAAAUAUAUCAAUGUAUAUUUGGAUAUACAAACAGUAACUCAUAUUUUUUUAACCAAUAUUACCUUGCCAGACAUGUUUCCGGUCUCCAAGGAAUGGAGACAGGGUCAUUGGCGUGUUCUAGUGAAUGUAAUUACACAUAUCAGGCAAAUCCUGGUAUUGCUUACACAGGCUUAUUAAAAAUGGCAACCUUAACCCAGGACAUUCCUGGCAUGUCCCACAUUUACUCAGAGCUUGUGGAAUUAAUUAUUUGAUUGGUUCCAUGUCACAAUGUUUGGCUUUGAGACUAGACUGAUGUGUGAUAUUUAUUUUAAGUGAAGCAAUAAUCAUAGAUAACUAACUACUCUUACAAAAUGAAUGCUUUUAAGCUGUUGAUAGAAUAAAUAGUGUGAGAAGAGGGGGUUAUGACUGUUGUAAUAUAAAUGUAUGCAGAUUACUUUAAAAUGAAAUCGGCACCUACCUCUUUCCUGUAGGAAUUAAGAAAGUUGAACCCCCAAACAACGUCCCACCAUUUAGAUAGUGGCAGUAUAUUAAACUGACGAAUGGACUGGCAAACUUUGCAUACAGUACAUGGUUAUUCUAUUUCAAACUAGAAGCAAUUGAAUGGCUAAUGUGUAUGUACAAUGCCUUUUAAUUGGACCAUACAUCAGUAAAUGGAGUGCUUGCUUUCACAUUCAAAAGCUUUACAUUAGCCUACCCCUACAAUUAAAACCCAUUGUUGGACAAAAGUUACCCAUCAACUCAGGUAUUUCAAGGCACCUGUGACAUGUCUCUCUAAAUAGUCUAAAACAUGAGAAAAUAAUGGAUUGAAACAAAUGUUUAAAGAAUCAGUAAAUAAAUAACUCUAAAAAAUAAUAGUUUAACAUCAUUCCAUCCUUAGAUAAUGUGGUCUUAAAAGGUCCUCUGGAAAUGUUGUGUAGUAAUAUAAAAAAACGUGUUGAAUCCCUAGAGGUCACCUUGUCUGUUUAACCAGUUUUGUUAUCUGAGAGUACACUAUCAACUAGAGUACAUAAAGGGGUUUCCAGGAAACUCAAAUUAAUUCCAGUUGAGCUACCUGAUAGUCAUACUUGUAUGCAAAUAAUUCACUUUCCUCAAUGUUUCAACAUGGGAAAUGUAUAGUGAACUAUGGUGGAUAGCAGCAGAAUUUUGCAUACAAUCAUUACAAGUUCAUUUUCUGUUAUGUAUAUGUACCUCAUACAGUAUGUUAAAUAUGUAUAAAAAGCGUAUGUUAUAUUUUCAGAAUACAAUGUAUUGAUUUUCUUUGCUGUUAUUAUAUGGUCAAAAGUAACACAAUUAGGGGAACUUAAAACUUUCUGUUCAAUCUUCCAAUGCCACAUUGACAGAGAGCACAUUAUGAUUUCAAGCUGUUAAUUGUUUUCCAUUUAGAUUCUAUUUUUCAGCCUGCAGUUAAAAUAAAUUACUAUUGAAGAUUGACAGUAACAUUCAAGUUUCCCAUCGUAUACAAAUAUAAAGAACUUGAGUCCAGUUUGGAUUAUAAUUUUAUAUUUCAGUCAUCAGAGGAUUUCUAUUUUUGAUAUUUUGAGUGUGAUUUAGUUAAUGCUAUAGUUUUCAAUAAUGUACAGUUAGUCUUGUUUCUUUGAUUGUAUCCUUGAUAUAUUUGUUAGAUAUAUUGUUGCUAGAACAUUUCCACCUUCAGCGUUUCACUCCUCUGCAAUUGAUAUCUUAUACAAUAUCCUCUCUAAAAGGGUAAUAGUGUGAAUGUUUCUGAUCUUCAGUGCAGUGUUUGAAUGUACAAGUAAUUUAUUGUGGGGCUUAUGUCUCGUAACAAUGUUAAUUUGAACUUUAUUGAGAACUUUUAUUUGAAAUGAAUAUUCUGGUUAAGACAGCUUUUCCUCUUGUAAAUGCAAUCAAAGCUGCCAUACUAUAUGUAGAUCAUCGCUAAUUACCCUCAUCCCAACUCUAAGCCAAAAAAGCCUAAGUGAGAAAACCAAUGUUUAAUGCUUAUUUUGAAGAAUAUUGAAAGCAUGUCUAGCUUGGUUUUUCUGUCACAGAACAUGUCAUUGUAGAGUUAACUACCCACUGGCUGGCGCCAUGUUUUUUCCCCAAAUAAAAGUACUCUCCCUCACCAUCAA